CGCCUAGAGCGGCGGACUGGUGAGUAACACGUGGGUGAUCUACCUCGGGGUUGGGGAUAGCCAUUAGAAAUAGUGGGUAAUACCGAAUACGCUGCCAUGGCUACGGCCACGGCAGGAAAGGCGCUACGGCGCCGGCCUGAGAUGAGCCCGCGUCCCAUUAGCUAGUUGGUGAGGUAACGGCCCACCAAGGCGAUGAUGGGUAGGCGGCCUGAGAGGGUGUACGCCCACAUUGGGACUGAGAUACGGCCCAAACUCCUACGGGAGGCAGCAGCUAAGAAUAUUCCGCAAUGGACGAAAGUCUGACGGAGCGACGCCGCGUGGAUGAUGAAGGCCGGAAGGUUGUAAAAUCCUUUUGUCGGGGAAGAAUAAGCGUGGGAGGGAAUGCCCGCGUGAUGACAUGAACCGGCGAAUAAGCCCCGGCUAACUACGUGCCAGCAGCCGCGGUAACACGUAGGGGGCGAGCGUUGUUCGGAAUUACUGGGCGUAAAGGGCAUGUAGGCGGUUCUGUAAGCCUGACGUGAAAUACCAUGGCUCAACCAUGGCACUGCGUUGGGAACUGCGGGACUUGAAUCACGGAGAGGGAGCUGGAAUUCCAGGUGUAGGGGUGAAAUCUGUAGAUAUCUGGAAGAACACCAGUGGCGAAGGCGAGCUCCUGGCCGAUGAUUGACGCUGAGGUGCGAAAGUGUGGGGAUCAAACAGGAUUAGAGACCCUGGUAGUCCACACCAUCAACGAUGUGCACUAGGUGCUGGGGCGGACGCUUCAGUGCCGGAGCUAACGCGGUAAGUGCACCGCCUGGGGAGUAUGCUCGCAAGGGUGAAACUCAAAGGAAUUGACGGGGGCCCGCACAAGCGGUGGAGCAUGUGGUUUAAUUCGAUGGUACACGAGGAACCUUACCUGGGUUUGACAUGCACAGGAAUGCGGCAGAGAUGCCGCAGUCCCGCAAGGGACCUGUGAACAGGUGCUGCAUGGCUGUCGUCAGCUCGUGCCGUGAGGUGUUGGGUUAAGUCCCGCAACGAGCGCAACCCCUACUGCCAGUUACUAACAGGUAAUGCUGAGGACUCUGGCGGAACUGCCGGUGACAAACCGGAGGAAGGUGGGGAUGACGUCAAGUCCUCAUGGCCCUUAUGUCCAGGGCUACACACGUGCUACAAUGGCCGGUACAGAGUGACGCGAAGCCGCGAGGUGGAGCAAAUCGCAGAAAGCCGGCCUUAGUUCGGAUUGGAGUCUGAA
rnacentral:rRNA from 1 species